UACGGAGGGUGCAAGCGUUAUCCGGAUUCACUGGGUUUAAAGGGUGCGUAGGUGGGUCUGUAAGUCAGUGGUGAAAUCCCCGAGCUUAACUUGGGAACUGCCGUUGAUACUAUAGAUCUUGAAUAUCGUGGAGGUAAGCGGAAUAUGUCAUGUAGCGGUGAAAUGCUUAGAUAUGACAUAGAACACCAAUGGCGAAGGCAGCUUACUACACGAUCAUUGACACUGAGGCACGAAAGCGUGGGGAGCAAACAGG
rnacentral:rRNA from 1 species